rnacentral:rRNA from 1 species
GACGAACGCUGGCGGCGUGCUUAACACAUGCAAGUCGAACGGAAAGGCCCUGCUUUUGUGGGGUGCUCGAGUGGCGAACGGGUGAGUAACACGUGAGUAACCUGCCCUUGACUUUGGGAUAACUUCAGGAAACUGGGGCUAAUACCGGAUAUGAGCUCCUGCUGCAUGGUGGGGGUUGGAAAGUUUCGGCGGUUGGGGAUGUACUCGCGGCUUAUCAGCUUGUUGGUGGGGUAGUGGCUUACCAAGGCUUUGACGGGUAGCCUGCCUGAGAGGGUGACCGGCCACAAUGGGACUGAGAUACGGCCCAGACUCGUACGGGAGGCAGCAGUGGGGAAUAUUGCACAAUGGGCGGAAGCCUGAUGCAGCAACGCCGCGUGCGGGAUGACGGCCUUCGGGUUGUAAACCGCUUUCGCCUGUGACGAAGCGUGAGUGACGGUAAUGGGUAAAGAAGCACCGGCUAACUACGUG